GGAGAAUAUCAAGGGGUAGGAAGUCUGGGUAGUAAAAUGUGAUUUUUAGGGACUAAAGAUGAUAUUUUGCAACCAUUUAUGUAAUUCUAGAGUAUGAUGGCUCAAGCAUAAUGCUGUUUCAUGUAAUUCUAGAGUGUGAUGACUCAAACAUAGUGAUGUCUUUUCUUACCACACCCCAUUGUGUUCCUAAUGCUCUUUAAGGGGAGUGACUAGUUGAUUAAUGUUGG
rnacentral:misc_RNA from 1 species